rnacentral:rRNA from 1 species
GACGAACGCUGGCGGCGUGCUUAACACAUGCAAGUCGAACGGACAGGCCCUGCUUUUGUGGGGUGCUCGAGUGGCGAACGGGUGUGUAACACGUGAGUAACCUGCCCUUGACUUUGGGAUAACUUCAGGAAACUGGGGCUAAUACCGGAUAGGAGCUCCUGCUGCAUGGUGGUGGUUGGAAAGUUUCGGCGGUUGGGGAUGGACUCGCGGCUUAUCAGCUUGUUGGUGGGUUAGUGGCUUACCAAGGCUUUGACGGGUAGCCGGCCUGAGAGGGUAACCGGCCACAUUGGGACUGAGAUACGGCCCAGACGGCUACGGGAUGCAGCAGUGGGGAAUAUUGCACAGUGGGCGGAAGCCUGAUGCAGCAGCGCCGCGUGCGGGAUAACGGCCUUCGGGUUGUAAACCGCUUUCGCCUGUGACGAAGCGUGAGUGACGGUAAUGGGUAAAGAAGCACCGGCUAACUACGUG